GCAAACUUGGUCAUUUAGAGGAAGUAAAAGUCGUAACAAGGUUUCCGUAGGUGAACCUGCGGAAGGAUCAUUACCGAGUGCGGGCCCUCGUGGCCCAACCUCCCACCCUUGUCUCUAUACACCUGUUGCUUUGGCGGGCCCACCGGGGCCACCUGGUCGCCGGGGGACGUUCGUCCCCGGGCCCGUGCCCGCCGAAGCGCUCUGUGAACCCUGAUGAAGAUGGGCUGUCUGAGUACUAUGAAAAUUGUCAAAACUUUCAACAAUGGAUCUCUUGGUUCCGGCAUCGAUGAAGAACGCAGC
rnacentral:misc_RNA from 1 species